GUACUUCACGAAACGCUUACGGGAUCUCUUUUAUCUGCAAUUUCCAACUUGUUAACAGAGUUAACUUGCUGGCGAAGUUCACUGGAAGGGACUGCAGAAUGUGGGGGAAAAAAUGCAACUCCUGGAACUGCAGACCAGAAUGGAUGGGG